rnacentral:lncRNA from 10 species
CGGUAACAGAGGUUUACGUGGGGUAGCUUGGAAGUGGGGAGAGGGGCACAGCCUUCUUAUGGGAGAGCUGCUGACUCAGCUCUUCAGAGGGCGGACCACCACACUGAGCCUUAAGAGACCAGGGUGCUAAGGCUUGAGAGUGAAGCCACUUUCCCCAAGCUCACACAGCAAAGACACGGGGACACCAGGACUCCAUCUACUGCAGGUUGUCUGACUGGGAACCCCCAUGCACCUGGCAGGUGACAGAAAUAGGAGGCAUGUGCUGGGUUUGGAAGAGACACCUGGUGGGAGAGGGCCCUGUGGAGCCAGAUGGGGCUGAAAACAAAUGUUGAAUGCAAGAAAAGUCGAGUUCCAGGGGCAUUACAUGCAGCAGGAUA